rnacentral:rRNA from 1 species
AGAUUGAACGCUGGCGGCAGGCCUAACACAUGCAAGUCGAGCGGUAGAGAGGUGCUUGCACCUCUUGAGAGCGGCGGACGGGUGAGUAAUGCCUAGGAAUCUGCCUAGUGGUGGGGGAUAACGUUCGGAAACGGACGCUAAUACCGCAUACGUCCUACGGGAGAAAGCGGGGGACCUUCGGGCCUCGCGCCAUUAGAUGAGCCUAGGUCGGAUUAGCUAGUUGGUGAGGUAAUGGCUCACCAAGGCGACGAUCCGUAACUGGUCUGAGAGGAUGAUCAGUCACACUGGAACUGAGACACGGUCCAGACUCCUACGGGAGGCAGCAGUGGGGAAUAUUGGACAAUGGGCGAAAGCCUGAUCCAGCCAUGCCGCGUGUGUGAAGAAGGUCUUCGGAUUGUAAAGCACUUUAAGUUGGAGAAGGUUGUAACUUAAUACGUGCAACUUUGACGUUACCGACAGAAUAAGCACCGCUAACUUCGCGCCAGCAGCCG